CAUCAUCAUCACUGUUGGACCGCUGGAGAGCAGACGCUGUCGCAGCUGGCCUGGGCUUACAGGACUGAACACCACCCUGCGCCAGAACCUAGUAAGAUCAGACCAUCUCCCACCCUCCAUUGAGACGGAUUCCUCAGUCGACUUCGCCCAGGCUAGGCUGUCGAACCAAUGACAUAGAACCAAGAUGUUGUACUAACCAUCUUCAGGACCCUCUGCAUGGCCUCCUCUUCCGUCUCCUCAUCACUGUCCGCUCCAUCAUGGCCUCCUGUAGCACGCGUCUCCUCUCCUCCUCCAGCUGCUGGGCGGCCUGCUGUACAUCGUCCACAUCACUCUUGUCUAACUGCUCAUC